rnacentral:rRNA from 1 species
UACGUAGGGGGCAAGCGUUGUCCGGAAUUAUUGGGCGUAAAGAGCGUGUAGGCGGUCCGGUAAGUCGGUUGUGAAAGUCCAGGCUCAACCCUGGGAUGCCGAUCGAUACUGCCGGACUAGAGUCCGGAAGAGGCGAGUGGAAUUCCCGGUGUAGCGGUGAAAUGCGCAGAUAUCGGGAGGAACACCAAUGGCGAAGGCGGUUCUCUGGACAGUUCCUGACACUGAGGCACGAAGGCCAGGGGAGCAAACGGG